UCUUUUCACUGUCUCACUGUGGGGAGGGUGGGAAGCAGGCUAGCAGGAGCUGCAGCAGGCUGCAUCCCUGGUGCAGCCCUGGCUGGAGUGGAGGAAGCUUGGCUGCCAAUCACCCCUCUCUUUAAGCUAUGCUACCCUUGUUCAAUAGAGAGUUGCUCGAGUGAACCUUUCCAGAAUGGCAGAAGUACAGAUAUCUUGUAAGUGGAGGAGAGAAGAAACCCCAAUGUUAGAAAAUCAAGGAGCAGUAUUUUGAAUUGUGCUUUGUCUGCUCCAAGCCUGAUCCAAAUGGUAGCACAAUAUGAAAAUGCUUCAGCUUUAAACCCUUUAGAGAAAACCUUAGUAAGGACAGAUUUCCUUCUGUAUGGAAUAAUGACUGCACCACUGUUUGGGAACAGUAGGGAAGUUAAAACAAGAGGAGUGCUAUAGGCAGGCAGAAGGAAGUCCCUGAAGAACAGAGGACUUACAGAUGGACUAGGAAUAUUCAGGCCUAAUGUCUGGAUUUAAUUUAAUUUUUAUGCUGCUGUUAGAGACAGCCUGGAGUUUCUCUAAAGAAUAAGCAAAGAUACUGUCCUUUUACACUCCCAGGAGCGUAAUCUUAAAAAAUGUCUUCACUGUUUUUCCAGUGGCUACAGCCUCCCAUCACAUUGAGUUACCCUGUAUAGUGAGGACAUGUGGGGGGCAUUCAACCCUCUGGCUCCAAGUGAAAUUGGUACUGGUUGUCUCUCACCUUCCACUCUUAAAAACACUUGACAAUUUGACAUUCUCACUGCUAAGUGAAACUGACAGAGGCUCAUCAGCAAUAGGACAUUGUUAUCAGCCCUGGCAGAAAUCAUACCAAGAGCCUUAUGCGAAGUGAUGACUUGCAUUUACUUCCAGCAGGAUGAAUGCAAUUGGGUGUCAAGUGUUCCCAGUGUAUGACUAGGGAACAGUGAGGAAGUUACUUAAAGAACUUGUGUUCUUCCUGCUUCCAUCUCAGUCAUCUUGGAAAUAGAUUGCAAAUUGCU